rnacentral:sRNA from 1 species
UAUCUAUCCCUUAGUCUGUUGGACUGUUAAGGCACCACACAAGCCAAGAUCUCGCAGCGGACAGUAGAAAAUGGCAGUUUGAACUUCAGAUCAUUGUGUCAACCGUCUCGUGCAAACAUCAAAACCAGGCAGUUUUAUCAAGAUCCACCUAAGAAUGAAAAAUACUAUAAGUCUGUUGGACUGUUAAGGCACCACACAAGGUUUGUCGACCAUUCUUUUCCUCACCGUCUUUUGAAUGACUAAUUCCUGAGAAUAAUAAACUGUUAUUGUUAAAGAAUAUACAGGUAAUCAGUGCUUUUUUGUAAAGAAAUAGGUGCCGGAGAUCAGUGAUGGAUUGCCUUUUAACAACUA